UACGGAGGGUGCAAGCGUUGUUCGGAAUUAUUGGGCGUAAAGGGCAGGUAGGUGGUCCCAAAAGUCUACUGUGAAAUCCCCGGGCUUAACUCGGGAAGUGCGGUAGAUACUCUGGGACUAGAGUACUGGAGGGGUUCGUGGACUUCCCGGUGUAGCGGUGAAAUGCGUAGAUAUCCGGAGGAACACCGGUGGCGAAGGCGGCUUCCUGGACCGACACUGACGCUGAGGCGCGAAAGCUAGGGGAGCAAACGGG
rnacentral:rRNA from 1 species